GAGAAAGUAGGCUUUAGCUGUCUACACAUGACCAGCAAAUCUGUUAACGCUUGAGCGGAGUCAGGAAUGAAGGCGAAAGCUUCACUUUGUUACAUAAGUCAUGGAUAAUCUGCCCAUAAGUUUGGAAAAGAACUGCAGUGAGCAGUGGAGUGCGAGGCUCGUACAGCUGUGGCCGUGCUUGUGACAGCGUCUGUGGAGCGGAGCCAAACUCUAAACCUGGAGCAGAGGAAGACAUUAAAAGAAGCCCCGCUGUAGGAUCACCUUUCAAACCACAAGUGCCUCCUAGAAACCAGCUCACCUCCUGAGUCCUCUGAAGGACAGGACAGCUCAAGCC